ACCAGGUACACCACGCAAAAACAAAAUCCAGGUUUGUCAUCCUUUUAUUUCUCUCUCUAAAAGCUUUUACCUUCAAAUCUGUCAAUGAUCUGUACACCAAAGCCAUAACUCCAGUCCUAUAUUGAUCGCCCAUGAAGAAAGAUAGCCUUCUAGAUUCAUGACUGCGUUCGCGCUUGUUUUCAUUCUUCUCAAUCUUGAAUUGCUGCUUUGUAAGUAUGUGAAUUUCGCAGUUUUCUGCUGCUCUAUUGCUUCGAUUGUCUGGAAUUCCUAGAUUUAGUGCCGAUCAUGAUGGGAGAGAACCCCAACUCUGCUUGAAAGUUGGUGGUUUCCAGCGAAGAAAGCUCACAUUUGGCCAAAUCUGAUCAUUUUGACGAGUAGGUUACAUCUGACGUUUUUGGGCUCCAUUUCUUUUCAAGUGCAAGUUCGAUUCCCGACGAUUAAUGUAUUUGUUUUGUGUUUUUGCUUAAGUCACAAAAGAGGAUAUUAGGCUUCUUCAUAUUUAUCAUGGCUAUAUUUUAUUGUAGUAUUGUUGUUUUAGUUGCUAAUUCUUUGUUUUUUAGUUAUGAUAUUAUGGAAGAUAUAUAUAGCCGGUGGGAGGUGUAUGUGGCCAGAGGAUGGGAAAAAAGACCAAAACACUAAGGACACCAGCAACACAACAGCUUAUGCAUACAACUCUCUUCCCAAUUUUCAUCAUCUUCUUACUUGCUUCAAGGUAGACUUUGAGUUCCUGUGCCAGCUCCGAUAGUACACACUGCUUCGGCUGUUGUACCAUGGGAAACAAAACGAGUGCUCCUGGGAGACUCGGAAUUUGUUUUAAGAGAAGCAUGUUGAACACGUGACUCAGUCAUUCUGCUUCUUCUUCAUUUCUUGUAUUUGUUUAUUUCAGUUGUAAAAGUCCUUUAAUUUUUCCAGCUUUCUUUUUUUCUUUGUAUUGUAAUCAUUGAAUAAAAUUUGUUUUAUUUUAUUUAAUUACGCGAACGGUUCUUACACAGUUCUGGUUGGUGUAUGCGAUUUGUGACAGUGAUGUUUUAGUGACUGCUGUUAAGAUCUCACGUGAUGGUGUCAUGAAGGUGGGUGUGCAUUGGAGGUGGUUGUUAACGGUGGUUGUCCCUCCGUUCAACUGUUGGCGAUCAAUCUCUCACCAGUAAACUUCACAUACAAAACUCCAUUGAUUCAAGAGAGUGGUGUUGUGAACAUGUAUGUGGAGUUUGAGGAGGCGAUUCUGAACCCCGACGUUUCGUGUGAUGCUGUGGAGGUCUUAGUCAGCUUCUUCUAUUCCAACCGAUGAGUCUCGAACAUUUUAAUCUCAGUUAGAACCACUUGAUGAUCUGAGUCUGAUUCUCCAAGUAGUGAUAACUAUGUUGCUCUUUUCUGUUGUAGCUCUUGCAAUUAGUCAUUAUGUACAAAAGUGUAUAUUAAUUGUAUGUGUUUUUAUUAUCUUU